AACGAACGCUGGCGGCGUGCCUAACACAUGCAAGCCGAGCGCGAAAGGGGUAACCCGAGUAGAGCGGCGCACGGGUGCGUAACACGUGGGUAAUCUGCCUCGAGGAGCCGGAUAACCAUCCGAAAGGAUGGCUAAUACGGCAUAAGCCCCCGGAGUCUUCGGACUCUGAGGGAAAAGGGUGGCCUCUGUUUACAAGCUACAGCCCUGAGAUGAGCCCGCGGCCCAUCAGCCCGUUGGCGGGGUAAUGGCCCACCAAGGCAACGACGGGUAGAUGGUCUGAGAGGACGAUCAGCCAGACUGGAACUGAGACACGGUCCAGAGUCCUACGGGAGGCAGCAGUGGGGAAUUUUGCGCAAUGGGCGAAAGCCUGACGCAGCAACGCCGCGUGUGUGAUGAAGGUCUUCGGAUUGUAAAGCACUUUCGACCGGGACGAAAAAGCGGGUGCUAAUCAGCCCGCCUUGACGGUACCGGGAGAAGAAGCACCGGCUAACUCUGUGCCAGCAGCCGCCGUAACAC
rnacentral:rRNA from 1 species